rnacentral:rRNA from 1 species
AUUGAACGCUGGCGGAAUGCUUUACACAUGCAAGUCGAACGGCAGCACGGGGCAACCUGGUGGCGAGUGGCGAACGGGUGAGUAAUACAUCGGAACGUGCCCAGUCGCGGGGGAUAACGUAGCGAAAGCUACGCUAAUACCGCAUACGAUCUACGGAUGAAAGCGGGGGAUCGCAAGACCUCGCGCGAUUGGAGCGGCCGAUGGCAGAUUAGGUAGUUGGUGGGGUAAAGGCCCACCAAGCCGACGAUCUGUAGCUGGUCUGAGAGGACGACCAGCCACACUGGGACUGAGACACGGCCCAGACUCCUACGGGAGGCAGCAGUGGGGAAUUUUGGACAAUGGGCGAAAGCCUGAUCCAGCCAUGCCGCGUGUCUGAAGAAGGCCUUCGGGUUGUAAAGGACUUUUGUCAGGGAGGAAAUCCCUAGUGCUAAUAACACUGGGGGAUGACAGUACCUGAAGAAUAAGCACCGGCUAACUACGUGCCAGCCGCCGCCGUAA